rnacentral:rRNA from 1 species
GAUGAACGCUGGCGGCGUGCUUAACACAUGCAAGUCGAACGAUGAUCCGGUGCUUGCACCGGGAUUAGUGGCGAACGGGUGAGUAACACGUGAGUAACCUGCCCAAGACUCUGGGAUAAGCCUGGGAAACUGGGUCUAAUACUGGAUGCCGACUUUCUGCCGCAUGGUGGGGGGUUGAAAGAUUUUAUUGGUCUUGGAUGGACUCGCGGCCUAUCAGCUUGUUGGUGGGGUAAUGGCCUACCAAGGCGACGACGGGUAGCCGGCCUGAGAGGGUGACCGGCCACACUGGGACUGAGACACGGCCCAGACUCCUACGGGAGGCAGCAGUGGGGAAUAUUGCACAAUGGGCGCAAGCCUGAUGCAGCGACGCCGCGUGAGGGAUGACGGCCUUCGGGUUGUAAACCUCUUUCAGUAGGGAACAAGGCCGGGCAUUGUCUGGUUGAGGGUACUUGCAGAAGAAGCGCCGGCUAACUACGUGC